GAGAAGAAGAAGAAGAAGAAGAAGAAGAAGAAGAAGAAUAAGAAGAAGAAGAAGAAGAUGAUGAUGAUUAUGAUGAUGAUGAUGAUGAUGAUGAUGAACAAGAUGAAAAAGUAGUAUAAGAAGAAGACUAGAAUAAUAAUAAUAAUAAUAAUAAUAAUAAUAAUAAGAAGAAGAAUAAGAAAACUAGAAGAAGAAGAAGAAGAAGACGAAAAAGAAGAAGAAAGAGAAGGAAAAUA
rnacentral:lncRNA from 1 species